rnacentral:pre_miRNA from 1 species
CAUGGUUACCAUCAGCGAGGUAUAGAGUUCCUACGUAUAAGUCUAAGAUUUGUAGGAACUUCAUACCGUGCUCUUGGAUAACUUUGAAAA